CUUGUUGGCGGGGUAACGGCCCACCAAGGCAACGAUCAGUAGGGGUUCUGAGAGGAAGGUCCCCCACAUUGGAACUGAGACACGGUCCAAACUCCUACGGGAGGCAGCAGUGAGGAAUAUUGGUCAAUGGGCGAGAGCCUGAACCAGCCAAGUAGCGUGCAGGAAGACGGCCCUAUGGGUUGUAAACUGCUUUUAUAAGGGAAUAAAGUGAGUCUCGUGAGACUUUUUGCAUGUACCUUAUGAAUAAGGACCGGCUAAUUCCGUGCCAGCAGCCGCGGUAAUACGGAAGGUCCGGGCGUUAUCCGGAUUUAUUGGGUUUAAAGGGAGCGUAGGCCGGAGAUUAAGCGUGUUGUGAAAUGUAGACGCUCAACGUCUGCACUGCAGCGCGAACUGGUUUCCUUGAGUACGCACAAAGUGGGCGGAAUUCGUGGUGUAGCGGUGGAAUGCUUAGAUAUCACGAAGAACUCCGAUUGCGAAGGCAGCUCACUGGAGCGCAACUGACGCUGAAGCUCGAAAGUGCGGGUAUCGAACAGGAUUAGAUACCCUGGUAGUCCGCACGGUAAACGAUGGAUGCCCGCUGUUGGUCUGAACAGGUCAGCGGCCAAGCGAAAGCAUUAAGCAUCCCACCUGGGGAGUACGCCGGCAACGGUGAAACUCAAAGGAAUUGACGGGGGCCCGCACAAGCGGAGGAACAUGUGGUUUAAUUCGAUGAUACGCGAGGAACCUUACCCGGGCUUGAAUUGCAGAGGAAGGAUUUGGAGACAAUGACGCCCUUCGGGGUCUCUGUGGAGGUGCUGCAUGGUUGUCGUCAGCUCGUGCCGUGAGGUGUCGGCUUAAGUGCCAUAACGAGCGCAACCCCUCUCCUUAGUUGCCAUCAGGUUAAGCUGGGCACUCUGGGGACACUGCCACCGUAAGGUGUGAGGAAGGUGGGGAUGACGUCAAAUCAGCACGGCCCUUACGUCCGGGGCUACACACGUGUUACAAUGGCAGGUACAGAGAGACGGUUGUACGUAAGUACGAUCAAAUCCUUAAAGCCUGUCUCAGUUCGGACUGGGGUCUGCAACCCGACCCCACGAAGCUGGAUUCGCUAGUAAUCGCGCAUCAGCCAUGGCGCGGUGAAUACGUUCCCGGGCCUUGUACACACCGCCCGUCAAGCCAUGAAAGCCGGGGGCGCCUAAAGUCCGUGACCGUAAGGAGCGGCCUAGGGCGAAACUGGUAAUUGGGGCUAAGUCGUAACAAGGUA
rnacentral:rRNA from 1 species